UGUAAAGGAUUCCCGUGUAAAAUGUUUAGCGCAGACACCUAACGUUGAGCCAGUUGAUAGGGUUGUUGGAACAGCGUCAUUAAAAAUGAAUUUCAUCCACUGGUCCCUGGUAGUUUGGUCCGUUUUUGGUAGAGAAAACACAUUUGAAUGUUGAUUCUGGCAGUCAACCACAGAGCAACUCACGUGUGCACC